CUGGGCAACAGGCGUCCUUAGCACUACCACCAAUCCCAAUAUGCACUAAACCACCUAACACAUCAACACAUGCUCCUAGCUUUAGAGCAUCAAUAGGGCAAGUCUCUUGCUUUGGGGGUGGAGGUGGGCAUGGCACUGGAGGUGGCGGAGGAGGGCAUGGUGUUUCAGUUGGCGGUGGCUUCACAACAGGAGGCUUUGGUGGUAGAGUUGGCGGUGCUGGUGUUACCGGCGGCGUAGGAUAAUACGGUGGUGUAGGGGUAACAGGAGGCUUUGGUGGUAGAGUCGGAGGCUUGAUCACCGGUGGUUUUGGUGUCGGUGUUACCGGAGGGGUAGGAUAAGGCGGCGGAGUUGGGGUAACAGGAGGCUUUGGUGGUAAAGUUGGUGGGGAAAUGAUUGGUGGUUUGGGUACAUAAGGUGGUGGCUUUACAGUAGGAGGCUUUGGUGGUAAAGUUGGUGGGGAAAUGAUUGGUGGUUUGGGUACAUAAGGUGGUGGCUUUACAGUAGGAGGUUUUGGUAUAUGGGGUGGAUAUACAAUUGGAGGCUUGACAACCGGUGGUUUGGGUACGGUUGGUGGUUUGACAACGGGUGGUUUGGGUACAUAAGGUGGCGGCUUUACAGUAGGAGGUUUUGGUACAUGGGGUGGAUAUACAAUUGGAGGCUUGACAACCGGUGGUUUUGGUACGGUUGGUGGUUUGACAACGGGUGGUUUGGGAACCACCGGAGGUUUGGGUGGCUUAGGUGGGUAGUGUUUGGGAGGUUUAUGGUGAGAGGGUGGCUUUACCUUAGGAGGGUGUUUGGGUGGGAACUUAGGAGGAUGCUUCGGUGAAGGUGGAGUUGGGUAAGGACAGUAAGGGCAAGCAAGAGAAGGGAUCAAAGAGCCUAAGUUGAGAAGGAGAAACAAGAGAUUUACAAGAACAAGCUUGGCCAUUGUAGCUGUCUCCUUCAGUGGCUUCUCAGUGAAUGAAGU
rnacentral:lncRNA from 1 species